rnacentral:rRNA from 1 species
GAUGAACGCUGGCGGCGUGCUUAACACAUGCAAGUCGAACGAUGAAGCCCAGCUUGCUGGGUGGAUUAGUGGCGAACGGGUGAGUAACACGUGAGUAACCUGCCCUUAACUCUGGGAUAAGCCUGGGAAACUGGGUCUAAUACCGGAUAGGAGCGCCUACCGCAUGGUGGGUGUUGGAAAGAUUUAUCGGUUUUGGAUGGACUCGCGGCCUAUCAGCUUGUUGGUGAGGUAAUGGCUCACCAAGGCGACGACGGGUAGCCGGCCUGAGAGGGUGACCGGCCACACUGGGACUGAGACACGGCCCAGACUCCUACGGGAGGCAGCAGUGGGGAAUAUUGCACAAUGGGCAAAAGCCUGAUGCAGCGACGCCGCGUGAGGGAUGACGGCCUUCGGGUUGUAAACCUCUUUCAGUAGGGAAGAAGCGAAAGUGACGGUACCUGCAGAAGAAGCACCGGCUAACUACGUG